rnacentral:sRNA from 1 species
CAACCAGCUUUAUUCUUAACGGAGAUUGUCUGGACGCCCCGGAAGAACAUCCUGAGAUGCUCUUUCUUCCUCACUUUUUGAGCUGCAGGAAAGACAGAAAAACGGCUGAAUACCAGCGAGCCAGGUAUUUUUCUGGCCAUUCCCUCUCGCUCCGGUAUGAAGCUGGUUACGAUUCUACCUUAACAAUCUGAAUAUCACUGUCCUCCAUAUCCAUACUGUCUUCAGAUGGAUGAAUACAAGGUACAUAUAUGUGCAUGCAGGUGCCAAUAGAGAACAAAAGGGAUCCCUGGAGCUGGAGUUGUAGGUGAUUGCAAACCGCAGGGCAGGUGCUGGGAACCAAACUCCAGGACUCUGCAAAAGGAGCAAACACUUAACCACCGAGACACGUCCGCGGCCUUGGUCGGUUCACAGCCAUUUUCUGGUUGGUUUCUGAAGCAUUACUAAAUUGUGCAAAGGUAAAUAUAGUCUUAAAAGGUCUGGUUUUGGUUUGUUGCUACGCUUCUUCCAGAUUUAAUUCCACAGAAAAGCCUGUCUCUUUUCUCGGUUUCAUUUCCUCCCUGUGGUAUGAAUUCCUAAGUCUCUAUCAUAAUUACUAAAUUUAACCAACUUCAACCUCAACUUAAUACCCUCGGAAAUACGGCUGUAGGAAUUUAACAUUUAAAAA